UAGUGCGAUCAUAUCAGCACUAAUACAUCAAUCUCAUUAGAAUUUCGCAGUUAAGCGUGUUUGAGCGAGAAAAAUAAUAAGAUGGAUGAUCUUUUGGAAGUCCUUAUGUUGCACCUU
rnacentral:rRNA from 1 species